rnacentral:rRNA from 1 species
GGAAGUGAACCAUCUCAGUACCUCCAGGAAGAGAAAACAAGUCAGUGAUUCCGCUAGUAGCGGCGAGCGAACGCGGAAGAGCCCAAACCGUCGUGCAUGCACGGCGGGGUUGUAGGGCCUGUCGGGCCGCAAGGCCGGCGAGUAAAAAACCAGUGGUCUAGUCGAAAGGUCUGGAAUGGCCUGCCAUAGACGGUGACAGCCCGGUAGACGGCAGUCUGCUGGCUCGUUGGACAGGUACCUGAGUACCGCGGGACACGUGAAAUCCCGUGGGAAUCUGCGAGGACCAUCUCGUAAGGCUAAAUACUCUCUAGCGACCGAUAGUGAACCAGUACCGUGAGGGAAAGGUGAAAAGCACCCCUGUGAGGGGAGUGAAAUAGUUCCUGAAACCGUAUGCCUACAAGCAGUGGGAGGGCUAUGCCGGAUUUCCAGCAAUGGAGUGCCGGAAUGCCUGACCGCGUGCCUUUUGCAUAAUGAGCCGGCUAGUUAUUCUCAGUGGCGAGGUUAAGCGUAAGCGAGCCGCAGCGAAAGCGAGUCCGAAAGGGGCGUUUAGUCGCUGGGAAUAGACGCGAAGCGAGGUGAUCUACCCUUGGCCAGGGUGAAGUACGGGUAACACCGUAUGGAGGCCCGAACCAGUGUUGGUUGAAAACAGCUUGGAUGAGCUGAGGGUAGGGGUGAAAGGCUAAUCAAACCUCGUGAUUGCCCGUUCUCCUCGAAAUGCCUUUUAGGGCAGCCUCGGUGGGUCGGCGCUGGUGGUAGAGAACUGAAUGGACUAAGGGGCUUACCAGCUUACUGAANACAAUCAAACUGCGAAUGCCAGCGACACGUAGCCCGGGAGUGAGACGGUGGGAGCUAAGCUUCAUCGUCGAAAGGGAAACAGCCCAGACUACCGGCUAAGGUCCCUAAGUGUGUGCUAAGUGGUAAAGGAUCUGAAGACGCUUAGACAACCAGGAGGUUGGCUUAGAAGCAGCCAUCCUUUAAAGAAAGCGUAAUAGCUCACUGGUCAAGCGGCUUUGGGCCGACAAUAUAACGGGGCUCAAGCACACCACCGAAGCCGUAGAAUACNCAGUCCUGCGNGACUGCACAUUGGUAGAGGAGCGUUCUCUUCUGCUGCGAAGCCAGAUCGUAAGAACUGGUGGAGCGGAGAGAAGUGACCCUGCCGGCAUAAGUAGCGAUAAGGAAAGUGAGAAUCUUUCCCGCCGUAAGCCUAAGGUUUCCUGAGGUAGGUUCGUCCGCUCAGGGUCAGUCGGGAGCUAACGCGAGGCCGAAAGGCGUAGCGGAUGCACAUCCGGUUAACAUUCCGGAACUACCUAUUCCACGUUAUUACGAUGGGGGGACGCAGGAGGCUAACCAGGCCCACGAUUGGUUGUGUGGGUUGAGGCAUGUAGGGAGAUCCGCCAGGUAAAUCCGGUGGGUCGUUAAUCCUGAGGUGCCGGAGCGAGGGCCGCAAGGCCCAUAAAGCUGGUGACGCCACGCUGCCGAGAAAAGCCUCUAAGGAGUGGAGUGGGUACCCGUACCGCAAACCGACACAGGUAGGCGAGGAGAAAAUCCUCAGGCGCAAGUGUGAUCCCUCGUUUAGGAACUCGGCAAAUUGGCCCCGUAACUUCGGAAGAAGGGGUGCUCCGUCUCGUGAUCCGGCUUGCCCGGUGAGCGUGAUGGAGUUGCAAUAAAGAGGCUCAGGCGACUGUUUACUAAAAACACAGGGCUCUGCGAAGUCGAAUACGACGUAUAGGGUCUGACGCCUGCCCGGUGCCGGAAGGUUAAAGGGAGAGGUUAGCCGCAAGGCGACGCUUUGAACUGAAGCCCCGGUAAACGGCGGCCGUAACUAUAACGGUCCUAAGGUAGCGAAAUUCCUUGUC